rnacentral:tRNA from 1 species
GAGGGUAUAGCUCAGUGGUAGAGUACGUGCCUAGCAUGCACAAGGUCCUGGGUUCAAUCCCCAGUACCUCCA